rfam:Schistosoma rodhaini strain Burundi genome assembly, scaffold: SROB_scaffold0004223
AUCUAACUGACGAGUUCCAAAUGAGACGAAACGCGCGUCCUGGAU